AUGGCUGCCAUUAACACCUAUCUCAUCAUCAAUGGUAAAAGGCAGGAAAACGUGGGACAAGUAACUCUAGCAGCUGCUAAUGGAAGCUUGAGUUUUCUGGCCCAUGGAUGUGGGGAUCCAGUUCUUAAGGCUGAGAACAAGCUUAAUGAAAUUGGGAGCCUUUUGAAAACCACACUGAGUGAGAAGAUAAAGAAGUUUGAUGGCUACCUGUGGAGAUUCAGGAGAUCAGUGCAGCAUGCUGGUUUCCUGUCUGAGGCAGCUGGCUGGCCUUCAAUGGCCUUGCAAAGGGCAGCAGGAUUCCUGCACAGCGGGGCCACGGCUGUCACCCAGGUGUGGAAGCAAAGUGGAAUUGGGCAUGUUCUGAGAAGCAGGAUCCCACUUUACCUGGAGAAAAUUCAAGAUGUUGUCCAGCAAAUGCAGAACGAAUUACAAAAGCCAUUAGCAACUCUGAAAGAUGCCUACUACGAUGUAACCUUGAAGCCACUGGAUGAAGUCUGGAAAGAGAAGACAGAAGAGCACAUGAAGAAAAUCCUGGCUUUCUUACCCAAGAUUGUAAAAGAUGUGUGGCUAAUGAAACCAAUUCAGAUGGCAUUAAAGGUUGUGAAAGCAGGCUUGGAUAUGGCUACCCAGCAGCUGCUCAGGUGGGCAGAGGCCACGUUUUCCAGAGCUGUGAGCAAGAUCCGGAAGCCCUUGCUGCACCUGUACAGUUUUUCACCCAGGAACUGUUCAGUGGCAGGAAAGCUGCCAGUACUACCUAAAGCAGACCUGUCCCUGCAGCUGGCAAAUGUUACCACUUACCUCAUUGGAGAAAAACUGAUGAGGCCUCUGCAAGACCUCUACAAUCUCAACAUCCUUGCAGAGUACUAUAGAAUCAAAAGGAGGAUGAUGGAGAGCCCCUUUGAAUAUCAUGCUAUGAUAGUUGGGAGCAAGCAUCUUGUGACUUUUGAUGGAAAAAUGUAUGAUUUGGCAUCAAAGUGCAGUGUUCUUCUUGCCAAGGAUUUUGUUCACAGUGCUUUCACUAUAAUACUAAAUGAGGAAACUAGGAACUCCAGAUCACUGUAUGUGGAGAUGAAUCAGACUGUGAUCACCAUCUACCCACGACUAAAGACAUCCAAGAUGUAUAACUUCUCCCUUACGGAAGAGAACUGCCAAGUGCUGGAUCCAUCCCUUGAAAACAGUACCAUGAAUUCAAGGCAAGGAAUCAACAAAAUAGAAGUAUCUGAUCAGAAAGGAGUUUCUGUCUCUUGUGACUUUCAGUAUGAUCUCUGCACUGUCACUCUGGCUGGGUGGCACCAUGGUGUUUCAGCUGGGCUUUUUGGUACCAAUGAUAAUGAAGCUGGAAAUGAAUGGAUGGUGCCUAAUGGCUCCUUCACUGACAACGUGAAAGAGUUCACCCAGAGCUGGCAGGUAAAUAAGUGCAGUCUUGUAGAGAAGAAAGAGAAGCCAUGCCCAAUUACAGCUAAGCAAAACAUCUGCAAAGCGUUCUUUGAAGAACCACAUUCACUUCUUAGGAACUGCUUCAAAGUUGUGGAGCCCAAGCCAUUCUACACCAUGUGCACACAGGACACCUGUGACUCCCCGGCCCUGGGGGCUGCCUGCAGCUUGGCAGCAGCUUUUGUUCAUUUGUGCAACCGGAAUUUUGUCCCUGUGGAAAUCCCUCCCCAGUGCUCGAGCCAGUUCUGA
ensembl:lncRNA